UUGAAGCUGGACUUUCAUAAGGCUUUCGAUAGCGUCAGUUGGUGCUGCCUUCGCAAGAUCCUUGAUGCCAGAGGCUUUCCACAUGUGUGGACUAACUGGAUAUGCACCCUCCUGUCUACUGGCAUCUCUAGAGUUCUGCUCAAUGGGGAGUUGGGUGCUCCCAUGAUGGCAAAGAAAGGUUUUCGGCAAGGGGAUUCUCUAUCCCCGUACCUUUUCAUUCUUGUAGCUGAUGUGCUACAGAGGAUGUGUUGUCAAAUGUUUCAAGCUGUCUCUUUGCUGCACCCCCUUGGUUCAGACAGCUUCUUCUCGGUACUCCAGUAUGCUGACGACACUUUGAUUCUUUUUCAUGGCAGUACGCAGCAGGUGGAAAUCGUUAAGUCAAUCCUCACAACUUUCUCUGCUUUCUCUGGGCUCCAUAUAAACUUUCACAAGAGCACUCUCGUGCCUGUCUCAGUGGAUACAAACACAGCCUCUGCCAUUGCUCGGAUCUUUGGCUGCCCAGUUUCGUCCUUUCCUUGUACGUACUUGGGUUUGCCCCUCUCCUUGCACAAAAUAACUCAUGGUAUGUUGUUGCCUGUCAUUCACAAGGUUGAUCGUCGCCUCUCUGGAUGGUUAUCUACUUACUUAUCUUUAGGAGGAUGGCUGACCCUUAUUAACUCGGUGCUGGCGGGUAUCCCAAGUUAUUUCAUGGCCUGUUUCAUCUGGCCUAUGGAAUCCAUUGGAAAGUUGGAGGGUCUGAUGCGUGCUUUUUUCUAG
rnacentral:rRNA from 1 species